rnacentral:misc_RNA from 1 species
GAUGAAGAACGUAGCGAAAUGCGAUACGUAAUGUGAAUUGCAAAUUCAGUGAAUCAUCGAGUCUUUGAACGCACAUUGCGCCCCCUGGUAUUCCGGGGGGCAUGCCUGUCCGAGCGUCAUUGCUGCCCUCAAGCACGGCUUGUGUGUUGGGCCCCGUCCUCCGAUCCCGGGGGACGGGCCCGAAAGGCAGUGGCGGCACCGCGUCCGGUCCUCGAGCGUAUGGGGCUUUGUCACCCGCUCUGUAGGCCCGGCCGGCGCUUGCCGAUCAACCCAAAUUUUUUAUCCAGGUUGACCUCGGAUCAGGUAGGGAUACCCGCUGAACUUAAGCAUAUCAAUAAGCGGAGGA